UUGGAGGCACUGCCUGCCCAGUGACAAACGUUAAACGGCCGCGGUAUCCUGACCGUGCAAAGGUAGCAUAAUCAUUUGUUCUCUAAAUAAGGACUUGUAUGAACGGCCACACGAGGGUUUUACUGUCUCUUACUUCCAAUCAGUGAAAUUGACCUUCCCGUGAAGAGGCGGGAAUAGACAAAUAAGACAAGAAGACCCUAUGGAGCUUUAACUAAUUAGUCCAAAGAAAACAAACUCAACCACCAAGGGACAACAACAUCCUCCGUGGACUAACAGCUUUGGUUGGGGUGACCUCGGAGAAAAAAAAAUCCUCCCAGCGAUUUUAAAGACUAGACCCACAAGUCAAAUCGAACUAUCGCUCAUUGAUCCAAAAACUUGAUCAACGGAACAAGUUACCCUAGGGAUAACAGCGCACUCCUAUUCAAGAGUCCAUAUCGACAAUAGGGUUUACGACCUCNAUNUUGGAUCAGGACACCCCGAUGGUGCAACCGCUAUCAAA
rnacentral:rRNA from 1 species